rnacentral:sRNA from 1 species
GCUGGGUGUAGUGGUCCACACUUGUAAUCCCAGCAAUUUGGGAGGCUGAGGCAGGAGGAUGAGGAAUUCAAAGCCAGCCUUAGCAACUUAGCCAGGCCCUGACCAACUCAGUGAGACCCUGUCUCUA